rnacentral:rRNA from 1 species
AUUGAACGCUGGCGGCAGGCCUAACACAUGCAAGUCGAACGGUAACAGGAAGCAGCUUGCUGCUUCGCUGACGAGUGGCGGACGGGUGAGUAAUGUCUGGGAAACUGCCCGAUGGAGAGGGAUAACUACUGGAAACGGUAGCUAAUACCGCAUAACGUCGCAAGACAAAAGAGGGGGACCUUCGGGCCUCUUGCCAUCGGAUGUGCCCAGAUGGGAUUAGCUUGUUGGUGAGGUAACGGCUUACCAAGGCGACGAUUCCUAGCUGGUCUGAGAGGAUGACCAGCCACACUGGAACUGAGACACGGUCCAGACUCCUACGGGAGGCAGCAGUGGGGAAUAUUGCACAAUGGGCGCAAGCCUGAUGCAGCCAUGCCGCGUGUAUGAAGAAGGCCUUCGGGUUGUAAAGUACUUUCAGCGGGGAGGAAGGGGAUGUGGUUAAUAACCGCAUUCAUUGACGUUACCCGCAGAAGAAGCACCGGCUAACUCCGUGCCAGCAGCCGCGGUAAGAC